AUUGCCUUUAUAUGCUCAUUUUCCCUUUUGCAACCAUAAAAACAUGUACUAAAACAAUAAUAGGGUGAAAAGCUCUUGUUUGGUGACAUCCAGCACUGGGAGGGGUUUCAUGUUCUGAGGGCUUAUAGGCUCAACUAUAGCAACUGUUGUGAAUCUCAGCUGAUCGCUUAAUUAAAUUACAUUUAAGUCUAAUUCAUUCCAAGUAAUUUGUUACUAAUAGUGGGUUUAACAGUUGUUCAUGUACAUCAUUGCGAAAGCUUUUAAAUUACUGUAUUUAUUCAAGUCUUUAGAUUCUUUUUUAAUAUUCAAAUCAAAACGGAUUAUAAUCUGUUUAUCCUCUUUGCCAAGGCGCUGUGCAUCUAGAAAACUAUGCUCCACCAUGAAUUAAAAGUUCUCCUUGGACUUUCAUCCAGUUUCAUUCUGUUACCUGACACAGCUCUUUCCACGUCUGCUUCUGCAACUGGUAUUUCGACGAUCUUGAUGCCCAACGGAGAUGAGUUUACGCACCAUCGCUUUACUCUUUCCUCAUAGUUUUACACAGAUUUGUGCCUGUUUAUAGCUCCAGUUACCAGCGGUAAGAGUAUCCUUGUAAAUUUCCACACAGGCACACAAAACCUUUGCGAGGGAACGCUGCGUGAAAACGUCAAAACUUGAGCAACUCCCCAGCAUGUCCCGUAAGCAGCACCGAACGGGAUUUAAAAUGACAAGUCCUCCUCCAGAAGAGGCCCCAUGCACAGAAAUAGGCUUUGUUUGUAAGAAAGAACCACAAACCAACCAACCAGAGGGCCCUACUUCCCCCCAGUGCCAGCGCCGCUCCCUGCAUAC
rnacentral:lncRNA from 1 species